UCCGGGCUAAUGGACAUCUCUUGGGGCCUAUGGAUAAGGAGCAUCCCCGGUUGCAAGCGUAGGGUUCUAACUAAGUUUGUAGGGUUCAGCGGGGGAGCUUGGCAGUGACACAGAGAGGUUGAGGGAGGGCUUCAGAGGUCAAAAGCUUGAGGGCUGUAGACAAACAUUGAAAAUAAAAGGGGUACAGGUUGGGAUAUAAGGUAGAGUUCAGGUGUACCCAAACCCUGAACAGCAGCCCUAACAGUGCCCCCAUUUCCCUGAGACAGCUGCAGGCAGGAACCCUAAAGCAGCAGAGUGCCAGAACCCCCGAGAGCUGCAGGCAGUACCCCUGGUGCUAGGGCCAGCCAGGAAGAGAUAGUGGGUGCUAGGGCCUACUGCUGUCAUAUAAGCUGGGGUUUCCAUCCUUGGGGUACCCUGGGCUCCCUGUCCCUCACUGACUGGAGAGUCUUCCUCCCCUCCUUGAGGUGGUGGUAAUUUGGCUGUGUCAGCCAAUACUGCUGUGAAGCAAGCCUCUGCCUCCCUGCGGGGUGAAGUGUGCGGCCCAUGAACCUGGGCAUUCUCUAGAGAAGGUAAGUGCUGAAUUUUCACAGAUGUGCCGCUAAGAUCCUGCGUUGAUAUUUGGUCUUCUAGAUUGUAGCUGACCAGGAGACGACAUCCUGGCGAUGGCAGGAGCUUCCCAGAGAGCGAGGUGGCCUUCCUUGACGCCCCGUCUGGCUACUCCCCGCCGGGCAUCCAAGAGCUAAGUCAAAGGCUACGACUUGUAGAGGGUUAUGAUAGCGGGGUGCCGGGUUGGGACUCGUGACCCGGGAUUUUUGAGUCAGCUUUGGGGACGGGGAGGUCCAGGCUGUGGCCCCUUAGGCCAUGUGAAGGGAGAGCCUCACAUUUGUUCACAGUGCUGAGGUGUGCAGGACAGAGCAGCCCCAGGGCGUGUUGUAUCACUUGUCCAUUGUGCCUUGUGUGUCUUUUGUGCUUCUUGUGUUGUACGUGCCUCGCCUUAUCUCUUCUGGGGGCUUACCAGAAACCCCGGUGUCACUCGUAGCAUCUCUGAUCUCUGGGCUCCUCAGCCCGACACCAUCGAAGCUUUGCCUCUGGAGCUCUCAGAGGCCUUGGAAUCGCGUCUCUCUUUUAAAAGCAUCCGAUCGGAUGUCUUUUAGAGGUCUUGUUCCGAGCUGUGUCAACAGCCGUGCGCCGCGAGGAUCCAUUGCUGCGGCUUAGGUCUUGAAGAAACGCAAAGUUUGGUAGGGGGCUGUGGCCCUCAGAUUCUCGGGCAUCCGUCUUGGCAGUUGCUGGAGUUUGUCAUUCCAUCAGCAUCUUCUUCCUCCCGGGUUCUGCGAGCUUCAUCAGCUCAUUCUCACCCGGCUCAUCUCGUUCCGCGUUCUCUCGGUCCUUGCGGCCAUUCUUGUGGCCCAGAGUUUUGUCUCCCCGUUGUGUCCCCUCGUCUGUUGUCUGGUGUGUCACGGGUGUCUGGGUGUAGUUGUCCCGGAGCUGCUCUGUCCUGCUGCCCAGCCUGGGUGUAGGUGUGAAGGGACAAGUACCAGGCCCCUGUUAUUUGAAAUUUGUGAUGUAGGGUGUAGUUGGAGUCUAGCAGGUGUUCCUAGAUUGACACAAGAUGUCUGGAGCUGUGAAGUUACCCUGCAGCACUUUGACUUUUGUCUUAGCUCUCUUUCAGAUACGGACAGAUGAAAUCGAUGGCAGAGCGCCCCGUCCAGGGUAAGGGGGUUUCCUCGAGAAGGUAAGUCAAUGUUUGUCUUUGCAGGGCAACUGGAACCGGUCACUGUGUUACAGGUCUCCUCUUUGUCUUUAUUUUUAGGAAGUGAAGCCGGCUAGCAGCAGUCAAGGCGAAGUGGGCAAGGCGGUCCAGUCGCAUUUCGCCGAGACGUCCUCCCCAACCGGCCGGCCCGCCUGCUUCACCGCUCCCGUGAGCCCUGCGGAAACAUUACAGGACGGUGUGACGGAGCCUUUUCCACGUAAAGGGGCCGUGUGGGUGGCCUUCAGGAACGGGCCGAGGGGUUGCCGCGCGCCCUGCGAUGACGGCGUCUGGCUCCCAGUGUGGCCGAAGCGCGUGACCUCAGGAUGUGGCCGUUCGCAGGAGACCCUGACCGAGAGACGGCAGCCUGGCGAUGGCAGGAACUUCCCGGAUGGCGAGGCGGCCUUCCUUGGCGCUCCAUGUGGAUCCUCCCCGCUGGGCAUCCGAGAGCUGAGUCGGAGGCUGCAAAUUGCAGAGGGACUGAAAUCGGGGUGCUGGGUCGGGACUUGUGACCUGGGAUUAUGGAGUCAGCUUUGGGGACGGGGAGGUCCAGGCUGUGGCCCCUUAGGCCACGUGAAGGGAGAGCCUCACAUUUGUUCACAGUGCUGAGGUGCGCAGGACGGAGCAGCCCCAGGGCGUGUUGUAUCACUUGUCCAUUGUGCCUUGUGUGUCUUUUGUGCUUCUUGUGUUGUACGUGCCUCGCCUUAUCUCUUCUGGGGGCUUACCAGAAACCCCGGCGUCAGUCCUCGCAUCUCUGAUCUCUGGGCUCCUCAGCCCGACACCAUCAAAGCUUUGCCUCAGGAGCUCUCAGAGGCCUUGGAAUCGCGUCUCUCUUUUAAAAGCAUCCGAUCGGAUGUCUUUUAGAGGUCUUGUUCCGAGCUGUGUCAACAGCCGUGCGCCGCGAGGAUCCAUUGCUGCGGCUUAGGUCUUGAAGAAACACAAAGAUAGGUAGGGGGCUGUGGCCCUCAGAUUCUCUGGCAUCUGUCUUGGCAGUUGCUGGAGUUUGUCAUUCCAUCAGCAUCUUCUUCAUCCAGGGUUCUGUGAGCUUCAUCAGCUCGCCUUCAUUCUCACCCGGCUCAUCUCGUUCCGCGUUCUCUCGGUCCUUGCGGCCAUUCUUGUGGCCCAGAGUUUUGUCUCCCCGUUGUGUCCCCUCGUCUGUUGUCUUGUGUGUCACGGGUGUCUGGGUGUAGUUGUCCCGGAGCUGCUCUGUCCUGCUGCCCAGCCUGGGUGUAGGUGUAAAAGGCCGAGUCCUAGGCCCCUGUAAUUUGAAAUUUGUCAUGUAGGGCAUAGUUAGAGUCUAGAGGGUGUUCCUCGAUGGACACAAGAUAUCUGGAGCUGUGAAGUUACCCUGCAGCACUUUGACUUUUGUCUCAGCUUUCUUUCAGAUGCGAACGGAUGAAAUCAGUGGCAGAGCGCCCCAUCCAGGGUAAGGGGGUUCCCGCGAGAAGGUAAGUCAAUGUUUGUCUUUGCAGGGCAACUGGAACCGGUCACUGUGUUACAGGUCUCCUCUUUGUCUUUAUUUUUAGGAAGUGAAGCCGGCUAGCAGCAGUCAAGGCGAAGUGGGCAAGGCGGUCCAGUCGCAUUUCGCCGAGACGUCCUUGCCAACCGGCCGGCACAGCUGCUUCACCGCUCCCGUGAGCCCUGCGGAAACAUUACAGGACGGUGUGACGGAGCCUUUUCCACGUAAAGGGGCCGUGUGGGUGGCCUUCAGGAACGGGCCGAGGGGUUGCCGUGAGUUGGGGAUGUCGGGAGGAGGAGUGAGGGCCUGUUC